rnacentral:rRNA from 1 species
CCUACGGGGCGCAGCAGUGGGGAAUAUUGGACAAUGGGGGGAACCCUGAUCCAGCAACGCCGCGUGGAGGAUGAAGGUUUUCGGAUUGUAAACUCCUUUUGUUAGAGAAGAUAAUGACGGUAUCUAACGAAUAAGCACCGGCUAACUCCGUGCCAGCAGCCGCGGUAAUACGGAGGGUGCAAGCGUUACUCGGAAUCACUGGGCGUAAAGAGCGCGUAGGCGGGAUAGCAAGUCAGAUGUGAAAUCCUAUGGCUUAACCAUAGAACUGCAUUUGAAACUGUUAUUCUAGAGUAUGGGAGAGGUAGGUGGAAUUCUUGGUGUAGGGGUAAAAUGCGUAGAGAUCAAGAGGAAUACUCAUUGCGAAGGCGACCUGCUAGAACAUAACUGACGCUGAUGCGCGAAAGCGUGGGGAGCAAACAGGAUUAGAUACCCGUGUAGUC